GUUCAACAGACCUACAUGAUCCAGUACAUUGAAUAGCCCUUAUGCACAUUCCAUGAUCGAACGUUCUAAACACACUUCCUAUCGGUUUGGCAAUUUCCGGUCAGUCUAGUUGUUAUCGACGAUAUAACGUUACUACCACUAUGUCACAGUUUUUGUCUUCAGGACUUGCCUCAAAUUAAUAUUAAUGAUGUACAUCGAAUUGUUAAAUCAGCCUCCGAGACUCCAGCUAGCAAGAAUGAAAAGGGGUUCAAGAUGUAUAUAGGAAGCUACAUAGACAACUAUGAAGAUUCUUGGCGACAGGGGACUCCUACAGGACCAUUGGAUUCAGCUUCCGAGUUGGACGGUCCACGGUGGCAGGCAUUGUCCCCUCUGUGGCACAAGCCAUUUGGGACUGUUUGGUUGGUGAAUACAUGCCUGUCCCCAAGGAGGAAGACUGAUGGGCCAUCGCUGCCGAGUUCCUGGAGAGGUGGAAUUUCCCGAACUGUCUUGGCUCCAUUGAUGGGAAACAUGUAGUAAUCCAGGCUCCACCGUGCUCAGGUUCGCAAUUCUACAACUACAAGGGUACAUAUUCAGUUGUACUCUUGGCUGUAGUAGAUGCCAACUACUGUUUCUGUGUUGUCGAUGUUGGUGCUUACGGCAAGGGAAGUGAUGGCAGGACCCUCCGGGACUCUGCCUUUGGCCAGGCACUUCAGGAUGGCACCCUGGAGAUUCCACCACCUGCAUCACUCCCUGGAGCUGAAGACCUGGGACCUGUUCCCCACAUCUUCGUCGGCAACGAGGCCUUCCCUUUCAGACCCAACCUCAUGAGGCCCUACGCUGGAUGCCAGCUGCCAUUGCCAAAGUCUGUAAGGAUCUUUAACAAACGAUUGUCCAGGGCAAGGUUAGUUGUUGAAUGCGCCUUUGGGAUUCUGGCAGCCCGGUGGAGAAUGUAUUGGAGAGUGCUUGGUCUCAGCCCUCAAAUGUCGAUGCCUGCGUGAAGGCCACGUGUGUUCUCUAUAACUACCUGCGGAGGUCAUUCCAGGAGCCGCUCCGGGUGGAGAUGGGCACGCCAAAUGGUCACCUACCUAGCCAACAACGCCCCCAGACAGGCACUCCAGGUGAGGGAGAAGCUGACCACCUACUUCUCAUCGCCAGCAGGUGAAGUCCCAUGGCAGUAUGGAGUGAAACUGCUCUUUUAAGAGCCCCCUAACAUAAAGGUUAUUUUAAGAACCAUCCACCAUUGUCCAUAAAGUUGCAUUUUUUCCCCAGAUUACUUUAUGUAUCAUUGUCUCUCUUCAUUUGGAAGUUAUAUUUAAGUGACAUUUGGGAGUAAAGACCACACCUUAAAACCCCUUCCCUCUCCCAUUAACGUCAGUAUUAUACACACCUGGCAUGGUACAUCAGGUGAGCGGGAGCACUAGUUAAGGUUAUACUACAUACAGUUAAGUAUGAUAACAAAGGGAAAGGGUAACCUAGGGUCCAUACAAAUAGUACAGUUUACCACCAUGUUCACUGGCCUGACAAAAUACAGGUGGGGAAAAAAAAAACUUCAGACAUGGCCAUAAAGAGAGAGAGG